rnacentral:rRNA from 1 species
GACGAACGCUGGCGGCGUGCUUAACACAUGCAGGUCGAACGGAAAGGCCCUGCUUUUGUGGGGUGCUCGAGUGGCGAACGGGUGAGUAACACGUGAGUAACCUGCCCUUGACUUUGGGAUAACUUCAGGAAACUGGGGCUAAUACCGGAUAGGAGCUCCUGCUGCAUGGUGGGGGUUGGAAAGUUUCGGCGGUUGGGGAUGGACUCGCGGCUUAUCAGCUUGUUGGUGGGGUAGUGGCUUACCAAGGCUUUGACGGGUAGCCGGCCUGAGAGGGUGACCGGCCACAUUGGGACUGAGAUACGGCCCAGACUCCUACGGGAGGCAGCAGUGGGGAAUAUUGCACAAUGGGCGGAAGCCUGAUGCAGCAACGCCGCGUGCGGGAUGACGGCCUUCGGGUUGUAAACCGCUUUCACCUGUGACGAAGCGUGAGUGACGGUAAUGGGUAAAGAAGCACCGGCUAACUACGUG